UGCAUAUACAACUGCUCAUGAUGAAUGCACAUAGGAGAACUGCUUUCAGACUCCGACAUCUGAGUCUGAUAUCAAAACGCCAAGACAAGCAGUCUGUUACAAGCUGCUUUAAUUUAGAACUUAGUCUAAAAGCCUAAAUGCAUGUAUUGCAAAAAUAAUACCAUUAGAUUCAGUUCCAUCAAACAACACAAAUGAAGUUCACUGGAAAAAUACUGCAAAAUAGAAGUUUAAUUUAUAACCCUUAUUGUCUGUAUGACACUUAAAUGGUGGCACUUAGCAGACUGAUAAAAAGUGAGGUUUAAAUGAUCAGUUUCUGUGACUGAAAGUGAUUCAUCUGAUAGCUGUCUCACAAAUGAAGAGCAGCACUAUACUGUUAACGGUGAAAUAAUUUCACUAAGGAUGUGCUACAAUUUUGGCGUGCCUUGUUAAUAAAAAUAAAUGUUUAUUAUGAACUGUAUUAUGAACAGGAUGUAUACAAUUCCUGAGUGUUUUUCUGUCUUCUUUUUCUCACUCAGGAAAUGUAUGAAUCAAAUUCUGGCACCAAUAAAGGAUCACAUGUGAGAUGAAA